AAUUGACCCAUUCCAUGGAAAAAGAUAGUCAGAAUCCUACUUUGCUCCAAACACAAAAAUAAGUUCCAGAUGGAUUAAUAACAACCUAAAUGUGAAAAGCAGACUUUACAACUUAGAAGAAAAUAUAGGAAUCUACCCUGAUGAUACUGGAGUAGGAUGGAUUUCUUCAAACAGAAAAAGCACAAAUGAAUAAGAAAAAGGUUUUUGAAGAACCCUCCAUCAGCCUUUUUGCUCUGGAGCAUUGUGAGGGAAGAGAGUUACAUCUAGAAGAGGCUGUGAACUCUGUUCUGAACAAGGACCUGCAUUUCUACACCCAGUCUGUGUGGGUAAAAAGUGGACUAUGGAUAGCUUAUGAAGGAUCCAAUUUCUUGGGAAGACAAAUCCUACUCAGGCCUAAUGAGAUCCCAAACUGGACAGCAUUCAGCAGAUGGAAAACAAUUGGUUCCCUCCGUCCUAUGAAGCAGCCUGCAGUGUAUAUCAGAAUAAAGAACCGUGCCCAGGAUGAAUAUCUGACAGUCACUGGAAAUCUAGCAGACACCAGGGCAACAUCUGUGUGCAUUUCUCCCUAUAGUGGAAAGAAUACUCAGAUCUGGCACUACUGCCGAGGACUCUUUAAAUCCAAGGCCAGUGAUACAUGUCUUGAUGUGAUUGGUGGCCGGGACACACCUGGAGCUAAAGUAGCUCUAUGGACUGAACAUGGGCAAUUCAGGCAGAAGUGGAGACUGAAUAAAAAUGGAACUAUCAGCUCUUAUCUCAGUGAUCAACUUGUCCUUGAUGUUAAAGGAGGAAAUUAUUGUGACAAGACUCAUGUAAUUGUAAAUCAGCCCUUGGAGGGAGAAGAAACACAGAAAUGGGACAUUGAAAUAUUGUGAGAGACUCAACAUCCCUAGAAAGAGCGAAGAAGGAAACUCACAUCUGUCAUUGUCUUGUGGACGUGGAAAGGAAGCUACUGUCCUCACACUCCUGGAUCACUGAGCAGAAUGAACAUUUUCUCCAGCCUCUCAGACUAUCGCUCUUAACCAUGGAAAAGCUCAAAAUAUUCUUGCCAUUACUCAGUGUUGCUAUAAAGAAAAUAUUAUGAUGUCUGGGAAAGGUUCUAUUCCUGAUCUCCAGCUGUGAGCCAAAGAAGCUCUUUAAAGAAGUUGUUUCUUCCAAAGAACAAAGCCAGGUUAAUGACAUUCAAUUCUAAAUGACACAUUGGAAUUGUGCCUUUUCUACCACACUGGAUUAAAUAAACUUGUC
rnacentral:sRNA from 1 species